GUUGCUUCUUAUGGUGAACUCCCUGUGAAUUGGUUGGGGCUGUUCAAGUUUCCGAAGCAUAGAUUACCAAUUGCCAGUAUUAAACAACACCGUGUAUGGUUUUGCUUACACUGUGUUACCUGUCUCCUGGUACAUGU